rnacentral:rRNA from 1 species
UACGUAGGGGGCAAGCGUUGUCCGGAAUUAUUGGGCGUAAAGAGCUCGUAGGCGGUUCGUCGCGUCGGCUGUGAAAACCUGAGGCUCAACCUCAGGCCUGCAGUCGAUACGGGCGGACUUGAGUACUGCAGGGGAGACUGGAAUUCCUGGUGUAGCGGUGAAAUGCGCAGAUAUCAGGAGGAACACCGGUGGCGAAGGCGGGUCUCUGGGCCGUAACUGACGCUGAGAAGCGAAAGCGUGGGGAGCGAACAGG